GGAGAAACUAGUGUAGUUCAACGCCUUUGUUAGGACUGGAGAUUACCUAUUGAAGCAAACAUUUUACAGAUAAUAAGGCUCUCCGCAUGAGCAGUUUGGAGUGCCUGAAUGUGGCACUGAUUCCAAAGAGGAGCCCCCACCCCAGUGGACUGGACAUCAGAAGUGUCCUCUGAGUCUGAUGGUGCAGAACUGAGGAGCUUCCUGAUGCGGGGCCAUGACAGAUUCCUUCAAUCAUCACAACAGCAUAGAAGCAAAUAUUACUUGGACAAAUGCUCUGAAAAGGAAGUAUACUGACAUGAUUUGACCAAAAGAACUCUUAAACUCUCUCAGGAAGACCAUUGCACCACAGAGAAACGUUGCACAGCAGUAAGAAAUCAAUCUAACUCACAAUACCAAUAUGUAGAAUACACAGCAAGACAGUCUCCACUAAACAAGUGCUCAGUCAAGUUAACAAAUACAAGCCAAAAGGAAGAGAGGAAAAACCCAAAUAAAAUGAACAUAAUGAAUAAAUAAAACUAUU